rnacentral:rRNA from 1 species
AUGUUUAGGAGAGUAACUCUGCUCUGGACCAAUCUCCGGAACAGAAUUCCUGCUCCAGCCUCAAGAUCUCCAACACUGCACUCUAGGACCUGCAACUGCUCCUCCUUGCAAACAACCGAGUUCUUCUUCUGGAAUGCUUUGGAGACGAGAGACCAUUUUGGCACUGCGAUUUGCUUGGACAAGAGGUGUACUGUUGACUCGAGGAGAGAGGUGGUGAUCUCCCUAGCCUCGCUCAACAGCCUGACCAUCCUGCAGUCCUCCUUGUCGGAUGUAACCUUCUUCGCGGCCUUCUUGAAAUGUUUCUUCGCCUUCUUCACCAGGCGGGUGUAA